ACGGGGUGCAGCAGGCGCGAAAACUUCGCACUGCGCGAAAGCGCGACGAGGGAAUCCCAAGUGUAUGCACGUAAGUGUAUACUGUUUCUCUGUCUAAAAAGCAGAGAGAGUAAGAGCUGGGUAAGACGGGUGCCAGCCGCCGCGGUAAUACCUGCAGCUCGAGUGGUGAUCGUUAUUAUUGGGCCUAAAACGUCCGUAGCCGGUCUUCUAAAUGCCUGGGUAAAUCGUAUGGCUUAACCAUACGAAUUCUGGGUAGACUGUUAGACUUGAGACCGGGAGAAGCUAGAGGUACUCCUGGGGUAGAGGUGAAAUUCUGUAAUCCUAGGGGGACGACCAGUGGCGAAGGCGUCUAGCUAGAACGGGUCUGACGGUGAGGGACGAAGCCCUGGGGCGCAAACGGGAUUAGAUACCCCGGUAGUCCAGGGUGUAAACGCUGCUUGCUUGAUGUUAGUCUGGCUCCGAGCCAGAUUAGUGUCGGAGAGAAGUUGUUAAGCAAGCUGCCUGGGAAGUACGGCCGCAAGACUGAAACUUAAAGGAAUUGGCGGGGGAGCAC
rnacentral:rRNA from 1 species